UACGGGGGGAGCAAGCGUUGUUCGGAUUUACUGGGCGUAAAGGGCGCGUAGGCGGUCAGCACAAGUCAGUUGUGAAAUCUCCGGGCUUAACUCGGAAAGGUCAACUGAUACUGUGCGACUAGAGUGCAGAAGGGGCAACUGGAAUUCUCGGUGUAGCGGUGAAAUGCGUAGAUAUCGAGAGGAACACCGGUGGCGAAGGCGGGUCUCUGGGCCGAUACUGACGCUGAGGAGCGAAAGCGUGGGGAGCGAACAGG
rnacentral:rRNA from 1 species